rnacentral:rRNA from 1 species
AUUGAACGCUGGCGGCAGGCUUAACACAUGCAAGUCGAACGGUAACAUAAAGGAGCUUGCUUCUUUGAUGACGAGUGGCGGACGGGUGAGUAAUGCUUGGGAAUCUAGCUUAUGGAGGGGGAUAACUACGGGAAACUGUAGCUAAUACCGCGUAGAAUCGGGAGAUGAAAGUGUGGGACCUUCGGGCCACAUGCCAUAGGAUGAGCCCAAGUGGGAUUAGGUAGUUGGUGAGGUAAAGGCUCACCAAGCCGACGAUCUCUAGCUGGUCUGAGAGGAUGACCAGCCACACUGGGACUGAGACACGGCCCAGACUCCUACGGGAGGCAGCAGUGGGGAAUAUUGCGCAAUGGGGGCAACCCUGACGCAGCCAUGCCGCGUGAAUGAAGAAGGCCUUCGGGUUGUAAAGUUCUUUCGGUAGCGAGGAAAGCAUUUAGUUUAAUAGACUAGGUGAUUGACGUUAACUACAGAAGAAGCACCGGCUAACUCCGUG